ensembl:misc_RNA predicted gene, 27695
UGCUCACUGGUCUGCUGAAGCUGACGAAUCGGGAAACCAUGCCAUUGAGGCGAACCCUGGGCUGGUUUAGAGGCGCUGACAUCCGAGGAGCCUUCUCCUGG